UUUAUAAUUUAGACAUUUUAAAUGUAGUACAUGUACCACUGAAAAAAACAAAUGACAUUUUUCAACAUUUUAAAAUGCAUUAACAAAAACACAUUCUUACUCAAAAAAAAAAAAUGUUAGCAAUAAUUCUUCCACAUAAAUCAAAAACAGAUAUAAAAAUAGAGAUGUUUUUAUUUUCAAGGAACUUGGGUUUUGGGUGUUUCAUUGACAUUGCCCCCAAAUGUCCUGCAAGUCAUAAUUUAAUAGUAUUCUGUUUUAUUACCCACAGGUACAUUUGCAAUAAAUAUGCUGGGGAAUUCAAAAUUCCUGAUGUCAAAAAUUGAUGUUUGUUGCAUGAAUUAAAAAUGAAUAACACAUUAAAAAAAAUACAGUUGGGGGCAUUUUGGUUUGUUUUUAAAAUACUAGUUCCCGGUAUAAGUAUAUGAAAAACAUCAAUUUUGGCACAGAAAAUCGACGAAUAGUACAGCCAGAAAUUACUCCAUGCAUUUAUUACUGCGAUAUUUGAAGAAUUGACAGAGAUGUCAGUGUAAUUUUUGCGAUUUAGUCAAAUCUGCAUACAGAUAUAAAUGUGAAUUCGUAUUAUUGCGUUUUUCAACAAGUAACAUUAUUCUCAUUAGGCAAAACCUCCAAAUAAUUUUUAAAACUACAGUAUCUGAAUUUUUCAUAUGAAUGUACACUACUCUUAGGAAGUAAAAGUGUACAUGAAAAUACCAAAUUAAAAAAAAUAAAAAUAAAUGAAUAGGAAAUGUGUCUUUUAGUUUUUUGUGUCAUUGGGCUCUGGUCUAAAGAUGAAGUAUGAAUUCAUUAUUAUUUGUGCCAUACCAAACAUUGAAGGCUGUACAUUGACAUAUAAUGGUUUACUUUUUAAAAAUUGUUAUUUGGAUGGAGAAUUGUCUCAUUGGCACUCAUACCACAUCUUCCUAUAUCUAUUGUGGAUUUUUGUACUUGCGGGUAAAGCAGAACCACUAUUUCAAUUGUUCAAUAAACAGACUUUGUCAAAAUGUUGAAGUCAAAUAUAAAUCUUCAAUGCAAGAAAAUACAUGAAUCCACAUUAUCACAUUCUUCUACAUUCAUUCAUUAAAACAUUUUAAAAAUAAAGGUUUUCCAGUGGAAAUAUUUCAAUACUCAAUUGUCCAAGAUAAGUUAGAGGGGUUAUCAUAUCAGAAAAGGAAAAUAUGAGAAAUAAACAGCCAAUACGAACAAUUUAACACAUUUUCACCAAUGCCAAUGAUGAUUCAGAUACAAAAUGUAUAGAAAUGACCACACUAGAGACUGAACUAGAAUAUAGUAUAAGGGAGGACCUGCCACCAAACAUUUGACCAAUAUGUUCUUCAAUAACAGAGAGAUUUCAUGUUUCUUAAAACUUGUGCUUAAAUGAUUUGUUGAUUGUCUACCCCUGAAUUAUAAGGCAGAUAUACUUGUAUUAUGGAAGUACUACAUACAAUAUAGUACUUAUGUGGUGGUUUUAACAAAAUAUGAAAAGGUAAUAAUCAUUUUUUAUAUUUCUAAAAAUAAAUACUAUAACCAGGUGCUCCGCAGGGCGCAGCUUUAUACGACCGCAGAGGUCGAACCCUGAACAGUUGGGGCAAGUAUGGACAAAACAUUCAAGCAUGAUACAGCU
rnacentral:lncRNA from 1 species